GCUAAGGGCUAUUCAACGCUGGUCUGACCAAUUGGAAUCCACGCUUUAAGAUUGUUUUGAUCACACAGACGGACAUGUUCCAGGGGCCUGUUGCACAAAAGUAGAAUUAAGACAUCCGGGAUUAAUGACUCAGCUGAGCUCAAUGAAGCCAAAACAUGUGCGUCCAGGCUUAAUUGGUUGCACAAAGACCAAGCCAGGAUGAGCAGACACGGAUUCAUUAAACCAGGUGAAACCAAUCCUGGAUAGGUGCGCGCUCACGGCUCACUCAAAUAGACCCCGCCACAGAUCACAGAUUAACUGAUUUACCAUGGCAACUAGAGCCGCGUACUUUUCCCCGUCGGAAGCACAAAUCCUCAUGGAGGCAUACGAGGAGGUAAAAGAUAUAAUUAAGAAGAAAGGCAACACCGCCACAGUGAUAAAGCAAAGAGAAAAAGCGUGGCAAAGUAUUGCAGACCGCCUGAAUGCGUAAGUAGUGCACAAUUACACACUCACCGCUCCGCUGAAACAUCACAAUUACAAUUCAAAUAUUUAAUUCACAUCUCCAAAAAUGCAGUUGUACUGUAAUUAUGAAACGGUUAAAUUUUUAAUUGAAAUGCACUGCAGAUAUGAGUGAAAUUGUGUAAAGUAACUCAAUCACACUGUAUAAAGCUAUGAUACAUUUUUUGAUAUUUUUACUGAAAACAAGACAAAAAUACCAAGUAAUUUUUGCAGUGUGACUCCAUUAAAUGUGUGUGUGUGUGUGUAGAUUAAACAUGAACGGGCCAAAACGGACAUGGCAGCAGGUCAAAAUCAAAUACAAGAACAUUCUGCAGAAUGGUAUGGUCCCUGACUAAUAUUUAACAAAGCACAAGCAUAUAUUGUACCCAGAAGGUGCCUGCUCACACAUUGUCUGUACUGUUUUAGCAGUGAAAAGAAUACCCACAGACAAGGCACGGGUGGUGGGUCACCAAAGGCUGACCUUACCCCAGCAGAGGACAUGGCCUUGGAGCUAAAUAAAGGCAGGCCCGUCUUAGAGGGGAUCCCUGGGGGAAAGAGACGAGCAUAGGUUCCUCCCAAGAUGCCACCCGCUUCAUUCAAGUGCCUGGCAGCACUGUGUUCCUGUUAGAGCCACCAGCACAAGCACCAGACGAUGCUGAUCCAGGUGAAGGCCCCAGUGCAGCAGCAACAGCACAUGAUGGAGACGAUGAUGAGGAGGAGACCAUCUCUCUGGAUUCCAGAAGGCAUGAGGACCCAGAUGCUAUACAGUGGGAAAACCAGCCUGGCAACAUAGUGCGUAUUAAUAAAAGGACACCACAUCCUGCCAAAUUCCAGCUGCGCUAAUUGUAUUGUGUUCACAGAGCUCACAAGCUAUCAGAAAGUUGUAUGGCAACCACCUCCGGCGCCAAAUAGAACUGGCAGACAUAGACAUUCAGUACAAGAAGAAAAAGAUGGAAAAUCUUGCACUGGAGUCCGAAAUAAAAAGAGGACAAUUAGGAAACUGGACCUUGAAAUAAAAAAAACUUGAGAGGGAGGUGAGAUAUGCCUUCAAUGUACACUGUAUGCUAACUGUAACACAAAUGUAUUAAUCAUUAUUUUUCUUUCCUCCCCCAGCUCCAAGAAGAUGACACAGCUCAAAAUAAAAAUUUGCAAUCAGUACAACCAAGUCGUCGUUAUAAGGCAUCGCCCUCUUUUGCCCACCCCCCCAGCACCAGGUGUGGCCACUAGCCUAUAUGAAGGCCCAAAAUUGUAUGUUCCUUUCUGCUCUGACAAUGGCAUGCCCAUUCGUGCGAGAUGUGGUGGAUGAAGAAACACUUGUGCUGAGGAGAGCCUUCAGGCGAGAAAGGGUCUUCAGGGACCGGUUGGACCCACUGGCCUUCCCUGAUGACCAUCUAUAUGAAAGAUACAGGUUUUCUGCAGAUGGCAUCAGGUAUCUAUGCAGACUACUGGGUCCCAGGAUUAAGCACCGCACUGCACGGAGCCAUGCACUGAGUGUGGAGCAAAUGGUUUGUGUGGCCUUGCGCUUUUUGCUAGUGGAGCCUUCCUGUACUCAGUGGGGAUGCAGAACAACUGAACAAGGCCACAAUUUGCCGCACAAUAAGGAGUGUGUGUCUGGCUAUCAAAGCAUUAGCAGAUGUCUUCAUCUCCUUCCCUGGCCACAGAAGACUCUGUGACAUCAAAGAGGAGUUCUAUAGGAUUGCAGAUGGUCUGCAAUGCUGACUGUGUGAUCAGCAAUGUUGUGGCAAAAUGGCCUGGCUCAGUCCAUGACUCCAGAAUCUUUCGGGCCUCUGAAAUCUAUC